AGCCGAGAUCAUGCCACUGCACUCCAGCUUGGGCAACAUUGAGCACUGAGUGAACGAGACUCCAUCUGCAAUCCCCGCACCUUGGGAGGCCGAGGCUGGCAGAUCACUCGCAGUUAGGAGCUGGAGACCAGCCCGGCCAACACAGCGAAACCCCGUCUCCACCAAGUUUUCUUACAUAUAAAGAAAAAAAUCCAGCCUGGGCCCGUGGCGAAACCCUGGUCUCUACAAAAAAAUACAAAAAUUACCCAGGUGUGGUGGUGCAUGCCAUAGUCCCAGCUACUCAGAAGGCUGAGGUGGGAGAAUUGCUUAAGCCUGGGAGUUCAAGGCUGCAGUGAGCCAAGAUCACACCGCUGCACCCUAGCCUGGUCACAGAGUGAGACCUUGUCUAAAAAAAAAAAGACAUUUGACAGUCCGUGAUACGUGUUACAUAUUUUUUUUCUAGUUGGUCAUUUUUCUUCUGAAUUGUAAUAAAUAGGCCAUAAACAGAAAAUGAAACCCUUUGACUAGUGUUUCUUGGUGACCUAAAAUUUUCAUGUGUUGCAAUUAAGAAAAAAAUAAAUUGAGUCCUGCUCAGAGAAGAUUGGCUUCAAUGUAGCAGGUCCCACACUUUAGCAGAUAACCCUACAUGUUCUACCAGUAGAAGGCGAGCCACCUAGAAGCCUGUCUCUAGCUAAGGGGGUGCGUCCCUGCCACCUUACAAAAGAGCUUCUCCUUUUUCGUUGGCCUGGCCAGGUGUCCAGUUCAGGAGGACGUGUGUGUGCUGCAGAAGGAAGGACACAUUUAAAUCAUUUAAAAGGUAUCCCCACCAUGGUCUCUUUAUUGCAGUGCGGCAGACGGUCUGAAGUCUAAGUUCGCGAGCUGCCGACGGUGGCGCGGAAGUCUUUGGUCUCAGUCUGGAGAGGCGCGGGCAUGCAGGCCGCUAAGGACCCCGUUCACAGCUAGAGCAGAGAAGCAGUCCCUUGGUAACCACAUUUUACUAAUUUCUCAUCUGGUGGCAGGUGUCCAAAUCAGUACAGUUUAGAACUAGCCGUGGCUCACAAGAAACAGCCCCAUGGCCGCUGUGCUCCGGCCCAGCAUGUUUAUCAGGAAUGAAAGGAGAGGCAUUGCCAGCCCACCUAAGCCAGAGGCCCCAAAACCAGGAAAGCCCUGACUGCUCCCAUCGUGACAGGUGUCUCCGAAUUCUGCCCCGAAGACCCUGCGAUGAAACGUGGGGGACUCGGCGCCUCCUUUCACUCCCUACAAAUACAGACGUCGUCUCCCGACGGCAGUGGUUCUCCUGGCAGUGGGGCUUCUCCGCGAAGGAGGCGCUGCCGCGCUGCCAUGGAGCCCCGAGGGCCCGGGUGUGGCUCCAGGUCCUGCCGUGGGGAACGCCCGCGGCCGCCUGAGUCAGGGUCACUGGCGACUCGGGCUGUGUUUGCGUUUUAGGUGGAGGUAGGCAAGCGGUUGCGGCUCGGCGCCCUCGUUUUUCCCUCCUUUUCCCAUCAUUAGUUGGACUGAGUAAUGCUGUGGAGAAGCCUUUCAACGCUGCUACCUUGGAGAGGGAAAUGAAUGUCCCUCUUUCUUGAUGAGGGAACUGAAGCCUAAAGAAGUCAAUGAACUUGACCAAGAUCACACAAAUUGGGGGUGUAAUAGAGAUUCAACCAUCCAGCUCCAGAGUCUGCAUUUUUAAACCAAGAUAGCAGUCAGCUGUGUUCAGGCAUCACCUGCACUGUUUACAGCCCUCUGAUGAGUGUGUGUUUGUUUCAAAAAUCCAAGCAGCCCAGAAUCCCUGAGCUGGCAGAACACACUUGGUUUUAGGAGUAACACAGUCCACCUCCAAAAACACUUUGCCUGGAGUCAUCAGGCCAGAAGGAACUGGUACAACAUUUUUCAGGUGCUGAAAGAAAAGAACUGUCAACCACAAUCUCUAUCUGGCAAGACUAUUUUACCAAAAUGAAGGGGCACUAAAGACAUUCUCAGAUGAAGGAAAGCUAGAAGAAUUUGUUAAUUUCAGACCUAUCCUUAAAAAUUGACUAAAGGAAGACCUUCAGCAGGAAGGAAAUAAUAAAAGAAGGAGCCAUGGAGCAUAAGAAAGAACAACAUAAAAACGAAGCAUAUGAGUACAAACCAUAGACCAUUGUUUCUCAUGUGAGUUUUAUUUUAAGAAUCUGAAGAUCAAAACAAAAAUUAUAGCAUUAUUUGAUGCUCAAGAUAACAUUGUGAAAGGGGCCAGGCACGGUGGCUCAUGCCUGUAAUCCCAGCACUCUGGGAGGGCGAGGCAGGUGGAUCACCUGAGGUCAGGAGUUCAAGACCAGCCUGGCCAACAUAGUGAAAUACCAUCUCUACUAAAAAUACAAAAAGUUAGCUGGGGGUAGUAGCGAAUGCCUGUAAUUCCAGCUACUCGGGAGGCUGAGGCAGGAGAAUUGUUUGAACCUAGGAUGCGGAAGUUCGCUUCAUUGCACUGCAGCCUGGGCGACAGAGUGAGACUCUGUCUCAAAAAAAAAAAAAAAAAAAAGGAAGAAAGAAAGAAAGAUAAGGGACCUAAAUGGAAGAAAGGUUUCCACAUGUCCUUCAAGGUGGCAAAACAUUGAUACCAGCAGACUGCGAUAAGUCACAUAUGUCUAUUGAAAUAACCAAAAUAAAAACUCUAUGAAGAAAUACACUCAAAAACACUAUAAAUAAGUCAAAAUGAAAUACUAAGAAGUAUUCAAGUAACAAUAAAAGAGAAAAAGGAAUGAUAACCAGAGGAAACAAACAGAAAACAAAUAACAAAAUGGUAGUCUUAAGCUCUAACAUACCCAUAAUUAAAUCCACCAGGAAGUCAUAACAAUUCUAAAGGCAUAUGCACCAAAAGCAGUGCCUCAAAAUACAUGAAACAAACAUUGACAGAGCUGAAAGGAGAGACAAAUUCAUAAUUAUAGUUGGAGACUUCAACAUCUCCCUCUCAGCAACUGUUAGAACUAGUAG
rnacentral:lncRNA from 10 species